UCAGGAUGCAGCCCUUGUGAUGUCAUAGCUUCUUCCAUGGAAACAAAUCAUUGGCACCCUGGAUGACAUGGUAUAUUUCAUCUCAGGAGAGGGGUCUGCAAGAUUGAAACUGUAUUACCUACUGACCUGAUACCUUCUCGAACCACGAGACCCAGCUGUGCAAGGCAUUUGUGACUCUCCCUUACCUCCUACAUCAUACUCAAACUAUUCAUUUCUGGUCUCCAAAGGCCUCUGUUCAUGGCCUCAGCAUAUAUUUCCUUCCUCCCCUUCCUUUCCAAUCAAGCAAAUUUGACUGGAGCCUCUCAGAAUAAAUCCAGAAUGACUUGGGAAUUGA